GCUAUUGUAGCUCAGCGGUAGAGCAUCUGUCUUGCAGACCAAAGGUCUCAGGUUCAAUCCCCAAUGGAA